ensembl:lncRNA
CAUGUGAAUAACCUCAAUGGAAAUAUAUUUACUGAAAAUUUUUUUUCACGUGUCCAAUACUUACUUCCCCGACUUGUACGUGACUUCAUGCACACACAAUCACACACACUCAGUAGGUACACUGUGGUAGAACCAACAGGAAGUUGACUAUGUCUGUGUGGGUGUGACGUUUUGAAAGGACUUGUUACACAUCCACACCUUCCUACAUUCCUCACCCGCUCAUGUGCACUGUGCUUCUUUUCAUAGCUUACCUGAGAUUUAUUGUGGCUGCUCCCACACACACCUUCUCAGUAGGUGCAAGUUAAAUAGCCACUAUAGUAAUAUAGUCUAGCACAUUUAAUUUAUUCUAUCCACUGACUUAAAUGAGCAAAAAUCCCAAGGUCCAAAAAACAUAAGUUUAAAGGGAUAGGUCAUCUAAAAAUGACAGAAAAAUCUGUCAUCAUUUACUCACCCUCAUGACCCGUAAGGCUUUCGUUCAUCUUUUUUGAUCGAAGUAGGUGUGGUGGAUCAUAAAAGACUGAAAUUUUGCUCAGGUACUGUGGCUAUUCAGUGCUUUAUAGGUCAAUAAUAGUAUUUUAUAAUCAAUGCAAAAUUUUACUGGGUGCCAAUGCAGUGUGGAUAAGGUAGGGGUGAUGUGGUUGUAUCUUCAGGUUCUAGUAAGGACUCUUGCAGCUGUAUUCUGGACUAACUGGAGCUGGAAAGUUUUGGUUACUGGACUGUAAAAAUAAGGUUUUAUUAAAAGAUGGCUUCAUUUGUGUUCUGAAGAUGAAUGAAAGUCUUGUGGGUUUGGAACAACAUGAGGGUAAAUAACUGACGACACAGUUUUCAUUUUUGGGUGAACUAUCCCUUUAACAGUAACAGUUGGGAAUUUGCAUGGUCAAAUUCCCUGAGGAUUAGAUAGAUAGAUAGAUAGAUAGAUAGAUAGAUAGAUAGAUAGAUACAUGCAUGCAUACAUACAUACAUACAUCAUUAAAACAUAUUGGGAUUUCAAAAGAAUGAGAUAACUGGACUAAAGAUAAGACUGUAUAAAUAGGGUAUUGAGUCUGUGUACAGAUUCAGAUCACUUUGGGACGCCUCACUGAUUGGAUCUCUUGUUGUUUUUUGAACAAUAAACUGGAUUUUUGCUUCUCUCAUCCAUCUAGAUUUUUACAUUCAGUUAUGCUUUUGAGUAUGAUCCCUUGUGGAAAAGGGUCAUUAGCACAUUGACACAACAAUAGGUAUAAGUCUGUUUUAGCCAUAAAGUCUUUGCAUAUACAAACAUACAGACCAAGACAAAGGAAAAUACUUUGAUUCAUCCUCACAACCCUCUGUUCUACCUUUUCAUAAUUUUCUAUCUACACCUUCAUCAGCAUAUAUGCUGUCCAGGCAUGGGUAUCCACAUGUCUGAAUCUCUAGUUAUGAGGUGCUUGGGAAGCUGGGCUCAUAUUAAAGAAUCGUAGUAUAUUUAAAAUAACAGGAAAUGCACAUUUGCCUGUUAGGUUUUCUGUUUAUCCUAUUCCUCAAAUGCGACCCUUUCAUAAAAGCUCCGCAGCUGGUACAUUUGAUGUGGCUGCAUAUUAAAAAGACUAGCAUUCAAAUGUUAGCAGUUCAGCAUGUGAAAUGUAGAUGGACUUGAUGUGUCAGCAACAGACAGGAAAAGCAAUGUGCGUACAUUUCUGUUUGUAUUACUUUGCCUCUGCAAACACUAAAGCUACACAAGAUUUUGAGGUUACACAAGGUAAUUAGAUUUUUCUGUGCCAAUCAUUUCUUUACGAAACUUUAUGCUUGUAACUAUUGCUCCAAAAUAUACUGCUUUUUUUUUUAAAUAGUAGGCCAUCCUCUAUUUUUUUAUUGCAUAUGACAGCACUUUGUUCUAAAAUCAUUAGGAGCUCAAAGAUGACAUUUUUGUAAUUGGCUCAGUGACAGACUGAGAGUACACAUACACUCACACACCUGACCAUAGUAUCAUAUUUCUGUUACUCUGUGACUGUUUUAUGUGUGUUGGAGUUUCUAAAUGAAAAGACGAAGAUGAUUUUUAUGGUCUCAGUAGUGUCCAUGCACUUCUCUGCAGGUGAAGCAAUGCUAAAAAUCAUAGUAAAUUUGAAAGCUAUAACACAGUGUUAGAGUGACAUGCAACCACAAACAUAAGGGCAAGGGUUCAAAAUGACAAACAAAAACAAGAUGUACUAUCUAACUAAUCCACUUUAGCUGGUUAGAACUGGUUAAGAGUUCAUUAUAAUGACUGUGGUGGUCUCCUAUGUCAGCAAAGUACACUACGGUAGUGCUUUUUGUUUACAAUCCUAAUACAACACAAACACAUUCACACAUUCACACGCGUACAUGCAAAACACGUCAGUGAGAAAAGGAAGGAAGUGUUAGGGGAAGCACCGCUCUUAGUUUGUAGCCAAUUGCAUCUCAGUGACGAAGGCCAAACAGUCUACUUAUGAGCAUGUGACGGAGAACAUAGCAUGUUGCUAUGGAAGCACGUCUCAGAAAUAUUGAGAUGUGGUUAGAGGGCACCCUCAGAACAGCAUGAACUUACCUCAUGUCUGUUCCAUCUGUUUAUGUUGUUAAAUAUGUCAGAUCAAGGUUGGACUUUUACAGCACAGUUUGUCAUUAGAAGUGUACAUGCAACAAGAGUAUUGAAUUAAAUACAAUCCUUAUUGUUGUAUUGACAUUUUCCUUGAGUACAAUCUGUUGUACUGGAGGUUUUGUUUUGCAACAUAUAUUUGACCUUUUGCCUUGAUUUGUCAUAUAAAUGGCACACUUAUCCAAAGAGCUUUACACUGUGUAUCAUUCACCCAUUCACUCACACACCAACGAUAGCAGAGCUGCCAUGCAAGAUGCUAACUUGCCAUCAGGAGCAACUUGGGGAUCAGAGUCUUGCCCAAGGACACUUCGGCACGUGGAGUCAUGCGGGCCAGGAAUCGAACCGCCAACCCUACGAUUAGUGGACAACCCACUCUACCACCUGAGUCACAACCACCAUAUACUGUAUAGCUAUGUGGCCUCUGACAGAAAUGUGCAGUUUAUCAAUAAGUGAGUGGCGCUUUCCAUAUUGUAAAGACAAUUAUCAGAACAGGUCAGCACAGUGGAACAGUGGGUAGCGUUGCCGCCUCACAGAUCCAGCAUCCGUGGUUUGAUCCUGAGCAUGGGUUUCUGACCGUGUUGAGCUUAGCAUGUUCUCCUUAUGUCCGUGAGGGGUUUCCUCCUGGUUUCCUCCUGCCUCCUUGAAACAAGCCAGGUGGAUUGGCUAUUGGUGUGUGUGUGUGUGGUGCCCAGUAAUGGACUACACUCUCAUCCAGGAUGGAUUCCCACCUUGCACCUGGUGUUGUCUGGAUCCACUAAUUCAAUUCAUACAAUGCUCCAAAUACCCAACCUACAGAGAGAUACAACACCCUCGCCAAAAACACCCUGAAGUAGACAAUAAGCCCCAUCACAAUAUUUAAGUUAGGAGGCAUUGACUUAUAAAAGUUUAAUGAAGACUUCAAAAUUCCUCUGGGAGUUUCCACUGUGCCGGAAUUUGUUAAAAGAUGUCCUGUUGCUGAGCAAGUAGAGCUGCAGGACUGCAAAUGUCUCCUGUCUCAGAGGAAAACAUUGAGUCAUGUGUGUAUACACGCUGAGACAGCAAUGCUUUCUGAAUUGCAAUGGCUUUCGUUUUCCAGGAGUUUCCACACGCAUUCCUUCCCAGGAAGUCUUCCAGAUGAAAUAAGGGUGAGAGAGAGGAGGAGGGUGUGAGAGUAAAGUGUGGAAAAGGAGAGCGAUAAUGAAAGCAGACUGGCUGACGAGAGCCUGUUGAGCGGGUGGGGGUAGGGGGGUUGAGGCUAGAGAGAGAGAGAGAGAGAGAGAGAGAGAGAGAGAGAGAGAGAGAGAGAGAGAGAGAUUGUUAAAAAAUAAAUUCAGAUUAUUGUGUCCACAUGGAAGUUUGGAAAUUCCAGAUUAAUGAAUAACCUAAGGCACUGGGGGAUGGGACUGACUUGGAUUCUCAUAAUAUGAUCUGUGGCUGUGUGACAGACCAAUAUGACACACACUCACACACACAAGUACACACACAUACACACAUACACACAUAUCUAUUAGCCCUAUCUGACCACAGUACAAGCACUUUUCACUGCAGCAGCAUUUUUGGUUGUUGUUGUUUUUUUUUCAAAAUUUUUAAGUCACCUUUAGCUUGUCGUGAAAAAGUUUUUUGUAUCUUAAUUCAACCACUUUUAUAACUGAAAAUUGUAUAUUUUGCACUACAACAAAAUAAACAGCAACAAAAACAAAUAAAAUGUUGGAAUGGAAAUCAACAGGUUGCAAUAGCUAGGAGUCAACAGUUUAACUUUGAGGUAUAACAGAAAACAAUUUUGCUUAAUCAACAGUGAUAUUUAACUACUUAAUUAGAUUAUUAGUGAUUAUGUCAGUAACGUAUGUAAAUUUAUUUGGGACCAGCUGAAUGAAAGGGAUUUGAGAAACAUGAACAGAAUUGAUUUCCAUUUCCCCAGUAUACCGAAUAUAAUCUAAUGAUCCUAAAUCAAUCACGUUUACAAUUAUAGCAAAAUUGAUGUUCUUAGUGGGAACUUUGUGACCUGAGUAUCACGGGAUAAAGCAAAGAACAUAAGUUCUUUCAACAUAAAAAGAAAAUGAAGAACAUAAGCUUUUUCAACACAGCAGAUUGAUGUUAUUGAUGUUAUUGGAUUGUUCAUUUGUGUGACUUGGGCUGAGGGGGGGAAAGAGAGAGAGAGAGAGAGAGAGAGAGAGAGAGAGAGAGAGAGAGAGAGAGAGAGAGAGAGAGAGGGUGGUGUACAUAGCACAGGACACAGAGCCAUAACAGACAACAUUAAAAGUAUGAGUAAUAGUACAGGAAAUGCAAUUGCCUGCUGUCAAACAUAAGCUACUUGUUUUCAUGUCACACUUUUAGUAUGCUCUGGGUUUACAUUAGUGCAAUGCACUAAUGUAAUCUUGAAUGACGUCUAGUGUACAAAAAAGGGAAACUAAUUUUUCCUGAGACAGACAGAUAGAGAGAGAAAGAAAUCGAGAAAGAAAUUUAAAAAGUUGUAAUUUCUGGGGGUUUUUUCAAAUGAGGUUGUUCACGUCUCAUUCACACAGACCUAAAAUGAAGCUCCAAUGAGAGAAAUGCAUAAGUUCCUUAUUUAAGAGUUCCGGUGCCGGGUCCCAACCCUUCAGUAUUUUUCCUGGUCUGUUCAGACCUGUCCUGCUCACGUCAUUACCGCAUGGUACAGGGAGUGCCUUGACUCAUACACACACUCACACACACUCACACACACACCUGAGAAACAUAAAAGACUUCAUUAGGCUGGCUGCAAUCCCAGCUACAAUGAGUUAAAGCUUUACAAACUAGACAGGACAAACCAGUUCUGAGUAAGACCGAGACAACAAGACAGACAGAACAAACACACUGUAGAACAGCAGUCUUCGUGCUGAGAGCAGGGCAUCUUCUUUUUCUCCUGAAUGUCACUUUAAAGCCAUUCAGAAGCUUCAGUCAGCUCUCAUUAAAUGCUAUUUCAGACACAGCCACAAUAACAACUAUUUUGAGCCCACCUUAUGGGGGUUCUGCUUGGUCAUUUUCAUCAGAAAAAUGAGGACACUUCCAGAAAAAA